rnacentral:rRNA from 1 species
UUAGUGGCGGACGGGUGAGUAACGCGUGGAAAACCUGCCGUAUACUGGGGGAUAACACUUAGAAAUAGGUGCUAAUACCGCAUAAGCGCACAGCUUCGCAUGAAGCGGUGUGAAAAACUCUGGUGGUAUACGAUGGUUCCGCGUCUGAUUAGCUAGUUGGUGGGGUAAGGGCCUACCAAGGCAACGAUCAGUAGCCGGCCUGAGAGGGUGAACGGCCACAUUGGGACUGAGACACGGCCCAAACUCCUACGGGAGGCAGCAG